AAAACAAUUAUAAUUCAAAUUAAUUUAAAAUUUUCUUAUUUAAUUUUUAAAGAUUUCACAUAUUUAAAUAUUCUAAACGUUUAAUAUAUCACAAUUUUUUAACAUCAUUAUAUAAUAUAUAAAGUUUUUAAAAAUCUCAAAAAACAUUUCCGUCAUAUUUUGUGAUUCAAAAUUUUAAAAAUGAACAUAUAUUAACCAAUUGGCGAAAAAAUGUGUGGGUUCAACGUCGCGCAUCGACUAAAAUAUUUAGACAAUGAUUCAUAAACAUAUCAUAAAUGAUUUUUUUUUACAAGACGGGUUUGGCAGGACGUUACUUAAUAACAACUGUAAACUAUAAAAUAAAAAUAUUUUAUAGAUACAUAAAAUUUGUAAAUUUUUAUAUAUACUAACUUUAAAAAAUAAAUUGUACCCACAGUGUACCGCGGUUAAAAUCUAGUAUAUCUUCGAAGCCCAACAAACUAAAAACUAUAAAU
rnacentral:sRNA from 1 species